CUUUUCCAAAAGAGUUACCUUUUCAGGUUUCUCCUCUUCCAUGGCUGGUUCUUCAUGUAUCUCUUCAAAUGCUAGUUCCUUAGGUGUUUCUUCAAUUACUUGUUUUUCAGGUUUCUCCUCAAUUUUUGGUUCUUUGAUUGUCUCCUCAACUGAUGGUACUUCAAGCUUUUCUCCCACGGUUGGUUUUUCAGGUUUCUCUUCAACUGUCGGUUGUUCAGGUAUUUUCUCAACCGCUGGUUCUUCUGGUUUCCCCGAAACCCUUGAUUCUUCAGAUUUUUCUUCAAUUGCUGAUUCUUCAGAUAUCUCUUCAACUAUUGCUUCUUCAGUUUUUUCCUCAACUGAUGCAUAGUCAGCAAUGUCAUUGUUGGUAUUGCAUGGAAUUGCAUUGUCUAUUGUGUUCUUUGAGUUUACAAUUGGAAAAUUCUGCAAGAAAAUUUAAAGUUUCAUCUAGUCUUUCAAUAGAUAAACAUGUAAAUGCGUUGCACAUAUAAAGCUAAUAUGCUGAAUAAACUUUGUGAGAGUUAAUUCUCACCUUCUCCUUAAGAGCUUCCAUUUCAGGUUCCUCCUCUUCAAUUGCUGUUUUUUCAACUUUCUCUUCAACAACUAGCUCUUCAGAUGUAUCUUCAACCGUUGGUUCUUCAGGUUUCUCUUCAAGUGCUAGUUCUUCAGGUGUUUCUAUUGCUGCCGGUUCUUGAGGUUUCUCUUCAGUCUCUGGUUCUUGAGGUUUCUCCUCAGCUGGUACUUCAGAUUUCUCCUCAAAUGUUGGUUUCUCCUCAACUGCUGGUACAUCAGGUUUCUCUUCAAUGACUAGUUCUUCAUUUUUUAUUUCAACUGCCGGUUCUUCAGAAUUUUCCUCAAUGUCUGGAGAGUGAGCAACAUCAUUAUUGGUAUUGCAUGGAAUUUCACUGCCAGUUUUGGUGUUCGAGUCUACAAUUAGCAUAUUCUGCAAAAAGACUUUAAUGUUUCACUUAGCCUUUCAAAAGAAGAGCAUGUGAAUCACUGUACAUGCAUAACUAACAAAAUGGAUAUACUUUGUGAUAGUACUUGACCCUUACCUUUUCCAAAAGAGUUACCUUUUCAGGUUUCUCCUCUUUCAUUGCUGGCUCUUUAUGUAUCUCUUCUAAUGCUAGUUCCUUGGGUGUUUCUUCAGUUACUUGUUUAUCAGGUUUCUCCUCAAUUUUUGGUUCUUUGAUCGUCUCCUCAACUGAUGGUUCUUCAAGCUUUUCUCCCACUGUUGGUGUUUCAGGUUUCUCUUCGAUUGUCGGUUGUUCAGGUAUUUUCUCAACCGGUGGUUCUUCUGGUUUCUCCAAAACCCUUGAUUCUUCAGAUUUCUCUUCAAUAGCUGAUUCUUCAGAUAUCUCUUCAACUUCUGGUUCUUCAGUAUUUUCCUCAACUGAUGCAUAGUCAGCAAUGUCAUUGUUGGUAUUGCAUGGAAUUGCAUUGUCUGUUGUGUUCUUUGAGUUUACAAUUGGCAAAUUCUGCAAGAAAAUUUGAAGUUCCAUUUAGUCUUUCAAUAGAUGAAACAUAUUUAAAUUCAUUGCACUUAUAAAGUUAAUAUGCUGAAUAAACUUUGUGACAGUGUUAAUUGUCACCUUCUCCUGAAGAGCUUCCGUUUCAGGUUCCUCCUCUUCAAUUGCUGGUUUUUCAUCUUUCUCUUCAACAACUAGCCCUUCAGAUGUAUCUUCAACUGUUAGUUCUUCAGGUUUCCCUUCAAGUGCUAGUUCUUCAGCUGUUUCUAUAGCUGCUGGUUUUUCAGGUUUCUCUUCAGUUGCCGGUUCUUGAGGUUUCUCCUCAGCUGGUACUUCAGAUUUCUCCUCAAAUUUUGGUUCUUCAGGUUUCUCCUCAACUGCUGGUACAUCAGGUUUCUCUUCAAUGACUGGUUCUUCAUUUUUUAUUUCAACUGCCGAUUCUUCAGGAUUUUCCUCGAUGUCUGGAGAGUGAGCAACAUCAUUAUUGGUAUUGCAUGGAAUUUCACUGCCAGUUUUGGUGUUCGAGUCUACAAUUAGCAUAUCCUGCAAAAAGAAUUUAAUGUUUCACCUAGCCUUUCAAAAAAAGAUCAUGUGAAUCACAGUACAUGCAUAACUAACAAAAUGGAUAAACUUUGUUA
rnacentral:lncRNA from 1 species